GAUGAACGCUGGCGGCGUGCUUAACACAUGCAAGUCGAACGGAAAGGCCCAAGCUUGCUUGGGUACUCGAGUGGCGAACGGGUGAGUAACACGUGGGUGAUCUGCCCUGCACUUCGGGAUAAGCCUGGGAAACUGGGUCUAAUACCGGAUAGGACCACAUUUUGGAUGGUGUGGUGGAAAGUUUUUCGGUGUGGGAUGAGCUCGCGGCCUAUCAGCUUGUUGGUGGGGUAAUGGCCUACCAAGGCGUCGACGGGUAGCCGGCCUGAGAGGGUGUACGGCCACAUUGGGACUGAGAUACGGCCCAGACUCCUACGGGAGGCAGCAGUGGGGAAUAUUGCACAAUGGGCGCAAGCCUGAUGCAGCGACGCCGCGUGGGGGAUGACGGCCUUCGGGUUGUAAACUCCUUUCGCUGGGGACGAAGCGCAAGUGACGGUACCUGGAGAAGAAGCACCGGCUAGCUACGUG
rnacentral:rRNA from 1 species